rnacentral:rRNA from 1 species
UACGUAGGGGGCUAGCGUUGUCCGGAAUCAUUGGGCGUAAAGCGCGUGUAGGCGGCCCGGUAAGUCCGCUCUGAAAGUCGGGGGCUCAGCCCUCGGAUGCGGGUGGAUACUGUCGGGCUUGAGUGCGGAAGAGGCGAGUGGAGUUCCUGGUGUAGCGGUGAAAUGCGCAGAUAUCAGGAGGAACACCAAUUGCGAAGGCAGCUCGCUGGGACGUUACUGACGCUGAGGCGCGAAAGCUAGGGGAGCAAACAGG